UUACGGCCAUAGGAUGUUCAAACACCGAUUCCCGUACAAUCACCGAAGUUAAGUAACCUCAAGAUUAGUCAGUACUUUUAUGGUUGAGCGCUUGGGAAUACCAGAUGCAGUA